CAGAGCAGAAUAGAGCCAAGUCAACCAUGAGAGUUUUUUCCUAUACUAACAUACUCCUGUUGUCUCUACCUGAGCCUCUAUCAUACUUUUAUUUUAUAUGUAGACCAAAUAUGCUGUCUGUGUAGCCUAUGUGGCAGUAUAGCAACUCAAUAUGGUAAUAAAAUCUGACAAAAUGUCAAGGAAUGCAAUUAUUAUACUGUUAUUGAGUGCAGUGAUGGUAGUAAAUAAAGUGUGUGGAGGGGAAGGGACUCUACAUGCAGCAAAAGCUGGAUAGGGUGGAGUCUGAACACUUUUUGUCCAAUGGGGAAGCAUGUUUUCAAAGCAGAGGCGUUUUCACACCUGGCAGACAUGCAGGUAAAUUGGUCAGACCCAGCCUACAACACCUGCACUGUGUGGCAAUUGUAAAAAAUAAAUGUGAAGGCUCCGAGGGUCCUGCUGGGGGUCCAAACUGAAGAAAGGGAAUCCCAUCAUUCUUAGUCUGUGCCUCUUCUGCAGCCUCCACAGAAACAGGAUCAUUGAGUAAUUCUAAAUAGCGGCAGGUAGUCGCCAAACUGUAUUUUCAAGAAAGGGGAAAAGAGGUAUUUUUUUUUUAGAGCCAAGCACUAACAUGUUAAUCGCAAAGACAGUUCACAUUAUGGGACAUUUUAUGAACCUGGCAGAGAAAAGCUUUAAAUGAUUCUCAGCGUUUAUUUUUUUUUUUUAUUACAUUAAACCAGUAACUUGACAAUGUAAGUUGUCAAAUAUGCUCUGAAUUGUUCCUUCUUCAAAUGGGAGGAAAGUGGAAAAAAAUGUCUUCAAGGGAAGCGUGUUAAACCAGUUGAACAUGACCUUUGUCCCUGACCUCCACGCCCAUCUCCCAAAACCACAAAAGAUUUCUGGGCAAUCGCAUUACCCCCUGCAGGGGUGUCCAGUCAGUCUUUUGCUCUUCUUAUGCCCGGAGAAGAUACUCAAAGACAAACUGAAAAGAAACUUUGUUCACUCAAGCAGUAUGAAAUCCUGUUUUUGAAUAAUUUCCUUAAAGCAGUGCAGGAAAAAAAAAAGGUUGUUUUGACAUCCUCCAUUACUUUUACCCUCUCGACACAAAAUCCAAAUAGACUCUGAAGAGACUGUUGAUCUUCCUACUGAGGGAAAACAGGACUCAUUUAGGUUCAUUUAAUCUGCUUCAGGGAGGCCUCACACUGGAAUUUCAAUAACAGCUGCAGUCUGCCAAGCAGCAGAGGACUCACUCAUUUAUUGUGUGAAUACAUUAAUUUAACAUGAUCAAAGGAAACCAGUCACAUUGCCUUUAAGGUUGGAAAGUGGUACCAUAUUGAGCAAACAAAAUCGCUGUGAUGUUUUUACUUUUAUGUACUGUAGGACUCGUUGCAUAUCCAGAAAGCGCCUAACAACAUGAGAAGAAGUUCAAGUUUUUAAGUGCUAGGUGUAUUUUUAAUAUUCUGCACAAAGACAAUGAAUGAUGAAAUAUUUACCAAUCUUUAACAGAGACAAAACAAUAUUUAAAGCUCAACAAAAACAGAAAAUUCCUGCUGUCCCGUGGCGUCACUACGCUACACUUCCUCCUCUGUUGAUUUGUCAAAGCUGCUGUUGGUUGCUAAGGUUACAAGGCUCCCUUUGGAUUGUGUUGCAUCUCUUCCACACAACAGUACCCAUGG